UCGCUGAAAACAUAACGAAACCCUACAAAUCAGAAGAUUAUUCGAUCUUUAAAUCAACAACAAAAAUUGCCGAUAAUUUCCCUAUUAUGUCUCCGUUUAUCAAAUUUCUAUUUCAGAUUUGGAAUUCUACAAAGAGAUAUCUUGGACAAUGACUGUGAAUAACCCAAACUUGCAUGAAUAAUUAGAAAGAUGAUGAUUUUUCCCAAAGAAGACGAUGUACAAAGAUAAGUUUUAUGUUACGGCUCUACUCUAACAAAAGAUGUUUUUAAUAUAUAUGGUGCUGAUGAUACAAAGUUCAAUGUUUCAGAGAAGUAAAAAUUUUCGAGUUUUAGUCUUUUAGAGAAGGCAAAUUUGAUGACGUUUAGAAGCCAUAACAGAAUCUGAAAACAAUGUUAAAAUCCAAGCAUCAGUUCGCAGUUUAAUUAUUAUGGAUGAGGGAGAAAUAAAGAAGCUUCGGUCAAGGCUUGACGUCAGCAAGGUCGGUGAAUGCUAGCUCAGCUGCCAUUUUCUUAGUGGGAUUGUGAAGAGAAAAGGUGAAAGCUUGAAAAGAUCUGAUCGGGCCUAUUGAUCGUAAGCCCAAUAGAAUCAUUCAUCAAAACACACUAAAGUUUUGAUAAAGACCCGAGAUCCGACAAAAGAAUCCAAGAUCCGCGUCCCUGUUAGAUAACGUUUGUCCAUUUUACCCCUCGUCGUAGAUAUUUUUUUUUAGUCGUGGAAUCAAAAAAUUGUAAUGGCAAUCCUUUGUAAUUCUUUACUCUUUAUAAAGUUAUUUUUUAGCCAA